rnacentral:rRNA from 1 species
AUUGAGCGCUGGCGGCAGGCUUAACACAUGCAAGUCGAGCGGAGAUGAGGUGCUUGCACCUUAUCUUAGCGGCGGACGGGUGAGUAAUGCUUAGGAAUCUGCCUAUUAGUGGGGGACAACAUUCCGAAAGGAAUGCUAAUACCGCAUACGUCCUACGGGAGAAAGCAGGGGAUCUUCGGACCUUGCGCUAAUAGAUGAGCCUAAGUCGGAUUAGCUAGUUGGUGGGGUAAAGGCCUACCAAGGCGACGAUCUGUAGCGGGUCUGAGAGGAUGAUCCGCCACACUGGGACUGAGACACGGCCCAGACUCCUACGGGAGGCAGCAAUGGGGAAUAUUGGACAAUGGGGGGAACCCUGAUCCAGCCAUGCCGCGUGUGUGAAGAAGGCCUUAUGGUUGUAAAGCACUUUAAGCGAGGAGGAGGCUCUUUUGGUUAAUACCCAAGAUGAGUGGACGUUACUCGCAGAAUAAGCACCGGCUAACUCUGUGCCAGCAGCCGCCGUAA